UGGGGAAUAUUGCGCAAUGGGGGGAACCCUGACGCAGCCAUGCCGCGUGAAUGAAGAAGGCCUUAGGGUUGUAAAGUUCUUUCGGUAUUGAGGAAGGUUGAUGUGUUAAUAGCACAUCAAAUUGACGUUAAAUACAGAAGAAGCACCGGCUAACUCCGUGCCAGCAGCCGCGGUGAUACGGAGGGUGCGAGCGUUAAUCGGAAUAACUGGGCGUAAAGGGCACGCAGGCGGUUAUUUAAGUGAGGUGUGAAAGCCCCGGGCUUAACCUGGGAAUUGCAUUUCAGACUGGGUAACUAGAGUACUUUAGGGAGGGGUAGAAUUCCACGUGUAGCGGUGAAAUGCGUAGAGAUGUGGAGGAAUACCGAAGGCGAAGGCAGCCCCUUGGGAAUGUACUGACGCUCAUGUGCGAAAGCGUGGGGAGCAAACAGGAUUAGAUACCCUGGUAGUCCACGCUGUAAACGCUGUCGAUUUGGGGGUUGGGGUUUAACUCUGGCGCCCGUAGCUAACGUGAUAAAUCGACCGCCUGGGGAGUACGGCCGCAAGGUUA
rnacentral:rRNA from 1 species